rnacentral:rRNA from 1 species
GCGCAAUGGCGUAGCUGACGGAGCACGCCGCGUGAGGGAUGAAGGCCUCUGGGUUGUAAACCUCUUUUCUCAAGGAAGAAGAUCUGACGGUACUUGUGGAAUAAGCCACGGCUCAUUCCGUGCCAGCAGCCGCGGUAAUA